GGCGGCAUAGGGUCGGAGCCAUUGCCGCGCAAAGGACGCAGGUUUAAAUCCCACCGCCUGCUGUAGUAUCCAUCAGAAAGGUUCUUAACUGAACUGAUACAACAAAGAUUACCCUGUUGUUAAAAUGGGUGAAUUAUGGCUGCCCCCUCCGUCAAACAGAGAGCUGCUUUCUAAGGACCCCCCCUCACCAACAAUGGUCCUCCUGCUGCUCCCUAUCACUCUGCCAGCAGCGGAGUCAAGAUGAGCACCGUCCAGCAGCACCUUCCUCCCACAUCCCUCUUUCCAUUGUCUUCGGCACCGCGACCCCUCGGCAUGAAAAUCCCGGCACUCCCACACUGAAGUUUAGCACCUGUCUUCUGGACUCCAGUAGUACAAUUUCGAUGCCUGACGUGCAAUGGAAGGUGAACGAACGCAUGGAGCGUCGGGCAACACGCCGCCAUGGGAUGCCGCCGUCAGUGUGCUCGCAAUCAGCAUCGACUACGAUAAUUGAGAGUAAAACUGCGGCGAAGGAGAUGGAGAGCAUGCAGAGGAAGACCAAAGCGACAGCUCCUUUGAACGCCACCGCUCCUUUUGCGCGAGGGGCUGGAGGAAGGCGGCUCGCGAACACAUAGCAGCUGGGUCUCGGCAGCAGUCGCUUGAAAGCAUGACACAUCCUAUUACUCCUGUGAGAUCAGGCAAUUUCCACGUCAUCUCCUGUUUCUGAGGGUAUUUAUAGACUUUCAAAGGCAGCAUGGCAGUAGGCAAGCAUCCCUCUCCUUGUCUCUCACUCCCAGUCUCUUGCUCUCUCUCUCCCUCCGUCUCUCGCUCUUGCCUCUGAUCUUGCUCGAGCUAAUGUCCUCUCUCUUCGCCGUCGCCCCACCUUCCCACACACACACACACACACACACACACACACACACACACACACACACUGCCUCCUGCUGUCCCUGCUGCUUGAGAUCAGCAUCGAUUAAAAUCUGAGGUUCAGCUGACGACGAGACUACACCCAUGAACACCAAGCCCAGAAACGUGCAUUAAGAGCCAAUAUCUGGAUACCGCCCCCGCCCCCGCCCCCCCCCAAGGGCACCCGUGUUAUCUGACUAGCUGAUCUCCAAGGGGUUGUAAGCCACUGUCUAAAUCAUGCGGUAUCGGCAAGGAGAAUGCAGUUGCCGUGGCGACCCAGCAGGCCAACGAAACGCACGGGCUCCCCGGAGACGGGCUAAUACAAGCUGUAGCGCAAGCAGGUGGCCGAAAUGAGCCGCGCACGACAGCUUUGAAGACCAAAUUACAACAAUUUGCUUCAGAUUUAUCUGUUUUUGUCCAAACAUCGCCAUUUUUACCUUAACAGCCUUGAGGGGAGGAAGUACAUGUAAAAAAAAUAGAGGAAGAGAAGGAAGGCAGUGGCAUUUUAAGUGUAGCGUAACAGCGAGCAGCUGUGGCACAUCGCAACGCGUGACCCGUGU
ensembl:lncRNA